rnacentral:rRNA from 1 species
ACUUUACAAUGCAGGCAACUGUGAUAAGGGAACCCCGAGUGCCCGUAAAUUCGGGCUGUCCAUCAGUGUAAAUAACUGGUGAAGAAAGGGCCGGGCAAGACCGGUGCCAGCCGCCGCGGUAAUACCGGCGGCUCGAGUGGUGGCCACUAUUACUGGGCUUAAAGCGUCCGUAGCUGGAUUGUUAAGUCUCUUGGGAAAUCCACCGGCUCAACCGAUGGGCGUUCAGGAGAAACUGGCAAUCUAGGGACCGGGAGAGGUGAGAGGUACUCCAGGGGUAGGAGUGAAAUCCUGUAAUCCUUGGGGGACCACCUGUGGCGAAGGCGUCUCACUAGAACGGCUCCGACAGUGAGGGACGAAAGCUGGGGGAGCAAACCGG